AUCCAUUUUAUCUUCUUCUUUCCCUGCUCAUUGUGGUGCGUUCCCUCUCCCUACGAACCUCUUCUCUCUUCUCUCACAUCACCUCCAAUCGGCAAGUUCUCCUCUGAUUUUUCACCAUUGACCGAAGCAAAUUGAUAUAGUGGACAUUUUAUGCUCAGUUUUCUGCCCAGCAUUGUGCGAGUUGGCUGCUGCAAUGUUGGGCUGUUGCGGCUUUGCUUUACUACUGUGUGCGCGUCCGUUUCACAUGGAUUGUUGACCACUGCUGUCUUCUUUACAUGGAUUGGAUUAUCCGAAACAACACCAAUUCAACAAGCUUGUAAAUGUUCCGACAUAAUGAAGGAAAUGAGCAAUAAGAAAUUUGAGAAGUUAAAUGUCAAUUUGUAUGUUGAGAAGAAAGGAAUUGGAGUAUCAUUCUUUUGUUGCUGCUAUGGUGAUUUUUUGUUACUUAUGUACUUAGGUUUUAGGGAAAAAUUGAACGGUUUAUUUGUUACACUUGUUGACUAUUUUGUGAUUGUUUAAAACAAUUAUGUAAGAUUGAAAUCAUAGUAUUUGUAUCAUAAUAGAAAUGUAUUGUAUUAUGAUAAUGGUAAUGA